AGUGAACGCUGGCGGUAGGCCUAACACAUGCAAGUCGAACGGCAGCACAGUAAGAGCUUGCUCUUACGGGUGGCGAGUGGCGGACGGGUGAGGAAUACAUCGGAAUCUACUUUUUCGUGGGGGAUAACGUAGGGAAACUUACGCUAAUACCGCAUACGACCUACGGGUGAAAGCAGGGGAUCUUCGGACCUUGCGCGAUUGAAUGAGCCGAUGUCGGAUUAGCUAGUUGGCGGGAUAAAGGCCCACCAAGGCGACGAUCCGUAGCUGGUCUGAGAGGAUGAUCAGCCACACUGGAACUGAGACACGGUCCAGACUCCUACGGGAGGCAGCAGUGGGGUAUAUUGGACAAUGGGCGCAAGCCUGAUCCAGCCAUACCGCGUGGGUGAAGAAGGCCUUCGGGUUGUAAAGCCCUUUUGUUGGGAAAGAAAAGCAGCAGGUUAAUACCCCGCUGUUCUGACGGUACCCAAAGAAUAAGCACCGGCUAACUUCGUG
rnacentral:rRNA from 1 species